CAGCAGCCACGGGAAUACAGAGGGUGCGAGCGUUAAUCGGAUUUACUGGGCGUAAAGCGUGCGUAGGCGGCUUUUUAAGUCGGAUGUGAAAUCCCUGAGCUUAACUUAGGAAUUGCAUUCGAUACUGGGAAGCUAGAGUAUGGGAGAGGAUGGUAGAAUUCCAGGUGUAGCGGUGAAAUGCGUAGAGAUCUGGAGGAAUACCGAUGGCGAAGGCAGCCAUCUGGCCUAAUACUGACGCUGAGGUACGAAAGCAUGGGGAGCAAACAGGAUUAGAGACCCCCGUAGUCCCUGUCUCUUAUAA
rnacentral:rRNA from 1 species